rnacentral:rRNA from 1 species
UACGGAGGGAGCUAGCGUUAUUCGGAAUUACUGGGCGUAAAGCGCACGUAGGCGGCUUUGUAAGUUAGAGGUGAAAGCCUGGAGCUCAACUCCAGAAUUGCCUUUAAGACUGCAUCGCUUGAAUCCAGGAGAGGUGAGUGGAAUUCCGAGUGUAGAGGUGAAAUUCGUAGAUAUUCGGAAGAACACCAGUGGCGAAGGCGGCUCACUGGACUGGUAUUGACGCUGAGACGCGAAAGCGUGGGUAGCAAACAGG